rnacentral:rRNA from 1 species
UACGGAGGAUGCGAGCGUUAUCCGAAUUUAUUGGGUUUAAAGGGUGCGUAGGCGGGUGCUUAAGCGUGAGGUGUAAGCUCGGAGCUCAACUCCGGAACUGCCUCGCGAACUGGGUGCCUUGAAUGUCCGUGCCGUGGGAGGAAUGUGUGGUGUAGCGGUGAAAUGCAUAGAGAUCACACAGAACACCGAUUGCGAAGGCAUCUCACGAACGGAUGAUUGACGCUGAGGCACGAAAGCGUGGGGAUCAAAC